CUGACUCGUAAAACAAACGGUUCAAACGCGGACAAGAUGGAGAGAACAAAUAAUGUGGUUGGGGGGAAGGCACGGAGGACGGAAAAGAUUGUAGUUCGCCAACAACGACUAACAUGAAAGGCACGAGGAGCUGCUGGCCAUGGGGGGACUGUACACAACCAUGUGGUUGAAUCAGCAGCAAACCACAGAGUCAGAGGUUUCUAUAGAUGAACAACCACAGGAGCCACAGCAGAGUGGCUGGAGCUGAUGGAGCAGAGAUGAGGAAUGGAGAUGUGUGAAAUCAAUCAGGAAAAUGGUUAAGAGCCCAUUGAGCUCCAAAGUUCAUCUCAGACACAGACUGCACAAAAGUAACGAAGAGUGUUUCUCCAGGAAAGGUCUCAUUAAAAUUAACAAAUGACUGAGUAUCUCUCAACAUGUUAAAGGCUAAUAAUGCUGGGACGAACAUUUCUAUUCACACUUCCUAUUUCGGUGUUCAUGUUACUGUAAUGUACUGUGUGUGUGUGUGUGUGUGUGGAAUGUGCACAAGUUGGCCAAGUACUUCAUUUUAAAACAAAACUUAAAAAAUAAAGUCUAAAUAAAUACAA